rnacentral:rRNA from 1 species
GACGAACGCUGGCGGCGUGCUUAACACAUGCAAGUCGAACGGAAAGGCCCUGCUUUUGUGGGGUGCUCGAGUGGCGAACGGGUGAGUAACACGUGAGUUACCUGCCCUUGACUUUGGGAUAACUUCAGGAAACUGGGGCUCAUCCCGGAUAGGAGCUCCUGCUGUAUGGUGGGGGUUGGAAAGUUUCGGCGGUUGGGGAUGGACUCGCGGCUUAUCAGCUUGUUGGUGGGGUGGUGGCUUACCAAGGCGUUGACGGGUAGCCGGCCUGAGGGGGGGACCGGCCACAUUGGGACUAAGGUACGGCCCAGACUCCUACGGGAGGCAGCAGUGGGGAAUAUUGCACAAUGGGGGGAAGCAGGAUGCAGCAGCGCCGCGGGCGGGAUGACGGCCUUCGUAUUAUAAACCGCUUUCGCCUGUGACGAAGCGUGAGUGGCGGUAAGGAGUAAAGAAGCACCGGCUAACUACG